AGGGCACCACCAGGAGUGGAGCCUGCGGCUUAAUUUGACUCAACACGGGAAAUCUCACCAGGCCCGGACACCGGAAGGAUUGACGGAUUGAGAGCUCUUUCUUGAUUCGGUGGGUGGUGGUGCAUGGCCGUUCUUAGUUGGUGGAGCGAUUUGUCUGGUUAAUUCCGAUAACGAACGAGACUCUGGCCUACUAACUAGAUGGAGGAUCCCUUCGUGGGUUCUUCACCGCUUCUUAGAGGGACGGGCGGCGUUUAGCCGCACGAGAUUGAGCAAUAACAGGUCUGUGAUGCCCUUAGAUGUUCUGGGCUGCACGCGCGCUACACUGAAGGAAUCAGCGUGUCCUCCCCGCUCUGAAAAGAGUGGGUAACCCGUUGAAACUCCUUCGUGAUGGGGAUUGGAGAUUGUAAUUAUUCUCCAUGAACGAGGAAUUCCCAAUAGGCGCGAGUCAUCAGCUUGCGUCGAUUACGUCCCUGCCCUUUGUACACACCGCCCGUCGCUACUACCGAUCGAGUGAUUUAG
rnacentral:rRNA from 1 species